CUGAAGUAGGUGGGAAGGGUCUGGCUGUUCGCCAGUUAAAGUGGUACGCGAGCUGGGUUCAGAGCGGCGUAAGCCAGCUCGGACUCUAUCCAGCAUGGGCGUUUUGAUACUUGAAGGGAGUGGUCUCUAGUAAGCAAUUGCUACUGUCCGAGGAAAUCUCGGACUGAAAACUUGGCUAAUAACGGUGAAGCCCUCUUGACUUUGGGUUAACUUUGGUUCUAUAGUUAAUUCAUAUACAAAAAGUCAAUGGGUAAUACCGUGGGAAGUUGAUUUAAGACAGAUGUUUUGAAGUGAGAAGUGGGAUGUGAGAAUUUGAAGUGAGAUUUCUAGAAUUCUAGAUAAUCAAGAUUUCAAAGAUUCAAUAUCAAUAACUUCACACUUCCCACAUCAAGAAGUCUAAAUCUAACCCCGUAACGACUGAUAUAUGAGGUACCAGAUAAUCUGGAGUAAAAAACUCAUAUUAUAUGCCAAUUCCGCAGCGUGAAGUCGGUGGAAAAGAUAUAGUCUGAUUCCUCGGGAAACCGAGGUAAACGAAAUGACGAGAGGACCGAGACGAGGGAACCUCUAGUGUGCCUGUUGUCGGUAAACCGGCAGCGCAGGGUAGCUACGUUCCUCACUGAUAAGUGCUGAAAGCAUCUAAGCACGAAGCAAACCCUAAGAUGAGGUAUCUUUAAAAGCAAUCCCGUAAGGGAUUGGAAGACCGGUGGUAGACUACCACCUUGAUAGGAGGGCGGUGUAAGUGUUGUAAAACAUUUAGCCAACCCUUACUAAUGGUCG
rnacentral:rRNA from 1 species